rnacentral:lncRNA from 1 species
ACACAACUUAUAAUUUCUGUAAAAUGAGACUCAUGCCUAGCAAUAAACAAGGAUUGAAAAUAUUGAACUGCAAUACCUUGAAUACCCAUAAGAUCUGUACACCAUAAUCUAUCCUCCCCUUCUAACCCUCGGUUAUAAUUCCUCCACGUCCGUUUCAUCGUUUGAGCAUGAAAAAAUCUUGUAUUCUUAUCCUCUUCUUAGACCUCAUAAUUUCAAAAAAUUGUGAUUAUUUCUUUUCUUUUUUUUUUUUUUUUUUUUUUUUGGGAGUUUUAACGAAAAACUCACGGUAUUGUUCACUUUAACGAAAAACUACAUUUUUACACUAAAAAAUCAAACAUGGUAUUAUUCAUUUUAUCAUUUAUUUUGUCCUAUCAUUAAAACUCAAAGUUUUCAAACCCUUUUCGUUAGUUUUACUUUUUUUUUUUUUGUAGAACUGUGAUUAUUUAACUUUUGUUUUGUACUUUCUUCGUUGAAUUAAAAUCAGAAAGUCUAUCCCCAUUUUUUCUUUUGGACCUUGAGUUUAGGAUAACAGCACUCGAAUAAUCGAUCCCAUUUACAUUUACAUUUUUAAUACAGCUGUACAGACGUCAAAAUACUCUAAUAAAACAGAGGCAUUUACUAGUCACCUUGUCCAUUUUUUUGGGCUAGACCAAUUAAAACAUGCUUUGAACUUUUGUUUUGCUUGAAGAUAAUUAAAAAUACCGAAAAUAUGACUUUGGCCCUUAAAACUUAAUUUUCUCUACAUAAAACCCGACAUAAGUUUUUUUCUUGAAUAAAACCCAUUGACUAAAUUCCACAUCAGCAAAUUAAUUAAUUAUGUUUGAUUUCACACAUUAAAAAAAAUUUGGAUGCCUAAAAUACCCCUAUUUGAUUUUUUUUUUUUAUAAACCCUAUUUGAAUAUUUGAUGUACAUAAUUAAUGCCAUGCGGAUGGAUGGUAAGGGAGAAUCAUACACACACACACACACACACAUAUAAAUGCUUGAUAUAUGUAAAAUUCAUGCAAAAUAAUUUACCUUUGUUUGUACCAUAUUUAGAGCCUCUGUAUUUAGACCUCGUAUAAAUACUUGGGGGACUCAAAUGUAAUUAUGUAAUAAAUGAAGGGGCAAAUAUGUAAUAAGUGAGGAGCCCUUAUUCUAUAAAAGGACUCCUCACUCUCCUCAUUAGAGGUCAAUGGCUAGGCCAUGGGAAGAGAGAAAAUAGGCUAAAGAGCACACUGCCUCUAGCCUUCUUGUAUAUUCACCAUUCAUAGUGAAACAAUAUCAACAUCAGUGUGGACGUAGCCCAAACAUUAGGCUAAACCACGAUACAUCUUGUGUUCUUUACUUUCUUGCAGAUUCACGGUCGAAUUUACGUUGUUCCAAGACCCUCCGGUUUUGUGCAUCAACAUUUGGCGCCGUCUGUGGGAAACAACAUGAAAAGCUGUGUCGGCUCUCUUU